rnacentral:rRNA from 1 species
AGUGAACGCUGGCGGUAGGCCUAACACAUGCAAGUCGAACGGCAGCACAGUAAGAGCUUGCUCUUACGGGUGGCGAGUGGCGGACGGGUGAGGAAUACAUCGGAAUCUACUUUUUCGUGGGGGAUAACGUAGGGAAACUUACGCUAAUACCGCAUACGACCUACGGGUGAAAGCAGGGGAUCUUCGGACCUUGCGCGAUUGAAUGAGCCGACGUCGGAUUAGCUAGUUGGCGGGGUAAAGGCCCACCAAGGCAACGAUCCGUAGCUGGUCUGAGAGGAUGAUCAGCCACACUGGAACUGAGACACGGUCCAGACUCCUACGGGAGGCAGCAGUGGGGAAUAUUGGACAAUGAGCGCAAGCCUGAUCCAGCCAUACCGCGUGGGUGAAGAAGGCCUUCGGGUUGUAAAGCCCUUUUGUUGGGAAAGAAAAGCAGCAGGUUAAUACCCCGCUGUUCUGACGGUACCCACAGAAUAAGCACCGGCUAACUUCGUG